GGGAGAGUGGACGCGCAUUAUAACCAAAAAUCAUAACUUAUUAUUGGAUGACUGGUGUACACAGCAAAGGUGUAUAACUUUUAGUGAUUGGACGUGCAUUAUAAUCUUCCUCAUUAUUUUUUUUCCAUUUUUUGGAGGUUAAAAUCACAAUCAGAUCCAUUACUUAACAAUCACAAAAAUGGAGUCGAAAGAAUCAAGCAGAGAAGAAUUAUCCUCAGCAAAAGCAGUUCUUGUUGGAGCUCUCGCUCCAGGAGUCAACGCUCCUACUUGGAAAUAUGCUGAAGAUUGCAUUUUUUAUGCUGGUUGUGUGUCUUGCUGUUAUAUUGGGCUUGGCUUUUUCCAGAAGUGACUACUCUUUGGCUCUCCAUGUUGCAUUCCUCUUUUUAAUAACUGGAACCCUCUUCGUACUUAGCAGGCUCCUACUUGGAAUACGCUGAAGAUUGCAUUUUUGAUGCUGGUUGUGUGUCUUGCUGUUAUGUUGGGCUUGGUUUUUUCCUCAUGUGACUUCUCUUUGACUCUCCAUGUUGCAACCUCUUUUUAAUAACUGGAACCCUCUUCGUACUUCUUAGCAGAUAUUUUGCGGCUUUUAUCAUUUGAUGUUGGAGAUUUAACUUGUAUUCUUGUAUUAGUUCUUUUGCUUACAUGUGAUGUGAAUGUACUUCAAAACUGUUAAGAAGUAAGCUUGAAUAAUUGGAUCGCUGUA